UGAAAGACGAUGGUAGUGAGA
rnacentral:miRNA from 4 species